rnacentral:rRNA from 1 species
GAUGAACGCUAGCUACAGGCUUAACACACGCAAGUCGAGGGGCAGCAUGAAAGGAACUUCGGUUCUUUUUGAUGGCGACCGGCGCACGGGUGCGUAACGCGUAUCGAACCUGCCUCAUACUCGGGGAUAGCCUUGCGAAAGUAAGAUUAAUACCCGGCGGUCUCGGAUGGCCGCAUGACUAUCCGAGUGAAGAUUUAUCGAUAUGAGAUGGCGAUGCGUCCCAUUAGCUAGUUGGUGAGGUAAUGGCUCACCAAGGCAUCGAUGGGUAGGGGUUCUGAGAGGAAGGUCCCCCACAUUGGAACUGAGACACGGUCCAAACUCCUACGGGAGGCAGCAGUGAGGAAUAUUGGUCAAUGGACGAAAGUCUGAACCAGCCAAGUAGCGUGCAGGAUGACGGCCCUCUGGGUUGUAAACUGCUUUUAGUUGGGAAUAAAAAGAGGGACGUGUCCCUUAUUGUAUGUACCAUCAGAAAAAGGACCGGCUAAUUCCGUGCCAGCAGCCGCGGUAAUACGGAAGGUCCAGGCGUUAUCCGGAUUUAUUGGGUUUAAAGGGAGCGCAGGCGGCGGCGUAAGUCAGUUGUGAAAUCGUGCGGCUUAACCGUGCAAUUGCAGUUGAUACUGCGUCGCUUGAGUGCACACAGGGAUGUUGGAAUUCAUGGUGUAGCGGUGAAAUGCUUAGAUAUCAUGAAGAACCCCGAUUGCGAAGGCAGCAUACUGGGCUAUAACUGACGCUGAAGCACGAAAGCGUGGGUAUCGAACAGG